AUACCUACCUGGCGUCCGGAUACCGUGAUCAUGCAGGUUCCCCCGGGGUGCGGCUGCUCCAUUGCACUGUGGAGUGGUUGACCCUUGCGAUUAUUUUUAUUGUUUUAAAAGUUUCACUUCUACCAUUUGUGACUUGUGCACACACACACACUUU